UUAAUGACAAUUAAAAUUAUAUUAGGAAUCAGAUUUUUGAUCUAAUUAUAAUUAAGAAUUUAGUAUUGUUAGACUUUAAAUUAAUUGGAUCCUAAUUAAAUUCUUUCUCCACUAAAAUUUUCCUACGUUUAAUUGAAUCUCCUAUUGGUUCCUCUCGACAGACCCAGCGCUGGGGUGUCGUCGUGGGUCUCGCGUAGUCCAGGGAGGGUUUCCUCCUUCUCUUCCGCCUUGUUCAAGUUUUCACCGCAAGGAUGGAGGCUUCUUUCCUCUUUUCCUCUUCUGCUUCGUCUCACAGGAAGAGAGACGUUGUUCUUUGUCUCGUUUUCUGGCUUUGGUUUCGGGUUUUUGCAAGGCAAAGGAGGAGGUUUCGCUUUUCUCGUUUCUGUCUGGGUUUGUGUUUCGUAGGAGGGAGGUUCCUUUCCUAUCCUCUUUUUCUGGUCGUUCUGGCAGGGAGGUUCGUUCCAGCGUCUAAGCAAUGCGAGGAGCUCGGUUCCUCGGCGUUCUCGUGGUGAUCGGGAUCACGGAAGCUCCCUCUUUUGAAGCAACCUGUGACGGUAGCAGAAUGGGCUGCAUUCUUGAUUCGCGUUUCUGAUUAGGGUUUUCUGAAAUUGGGAAUUUUGGAGGUUUUGGAAUCUAUUAUUGCAAAUUGGGGUUUCUGAUCUUGUUCUUCUAAUUUGGGAAUUCUCUUUUAAGAGCUUUGUUCUUGUUUUCAGAAAUUGUGUUUUGGAACCAAUCGAGAUGUUGGGGUUCUGGCUUUCAGAUUCUGUUUUGAGAAUGAGGUUCCUGUUUUGAGUUCAUGACCUUAGGGUUUGAGUGUAGGGUGUUCGAGUUAAAUAUCUGGGGUUUUGGCUCUUCGUGUGAUCGGAGGUUGAGUGCUUGGUUUCGAUCGGCAUUGGGUCUGACGAUGGUGGUUUCCACCUUCGAGGUGGCCAGAGAGUACAAGCACAGGUUCAGACUGAAUGGCAGUGGGCCGUGGGUCGGUGCGGAUUGAACCUGGUUGGGCCUGCGCAGACCCAUGGUUGGACUUUGUGAAACUCAGAUUUUUAGAAUCGUUGAGACAACCUUUAAAACAAAAAAAAAAAGGUAAGGGAUAAAGAAAAAGUAAUGAAAUUUUAAAUAUAUUUGGAAAUCGAAACUCUAGGGUCCAAAAAUAAUGAUAAGAAAAAGAUUAUGUAUUUGAAAUUAAAAUAAUGGG
rnacentral:lncRNA from 1 species